rnacentral:rRNA from 1 species
UAGGGAAUCUUCGGCAAUGGGGGGAACCCUGACCGAGCAACGCCGCGUGAGUGAAGAAGGUUUUCGGAUCGUAAAGCUCUGUUGUUAAGGAAGAACGAGUGUGAGAAUGGAAAGUUCAUGCUGUGACGGUACUUAACCAGAAAGGGACGGCUAACUACGUGCCAGCAGCCGCGGUAAUACGUAGGUCCCGAGCGUUGUCCGGAUUUAUUGGGCGUAAAGCGAGCGCAGGCGGUUAGAAAAGUCUGAAGUGAAAGGCAGUGGCUCAACCAUUGUAGGCUUUGGAAACUGUUUAACUUGGGUGCAGAAGGGGAGAGUGGAAUUCCAUGUGUAGCGGUGAAAUGCGUAGAUAUAUGGAGGAACACCGGUGGCGAAGGCGACUCUCUGGUCUGUAACUGACGCUGAGGCUCGAAAGCGUGGGUAGCAAACAGG